CCUACGGGAGGCAGCAGUAUGGAAUAUUGCACAAUGGGCGAAAGCCUGAUGCAGCAACGCCGCGUGCGCGAUGAAGGCCUUCGGGUCGUAAAGCGCUUUUCGGGGAGAUGAGGAAGGACAGUAUCCCCGGAAUAAGGCUCGGCUAACUACGUGCCAGCAGCCGCGGUAAU
rnacentral:rRNA from 1 species